AGUGGAGGAUUAUUUGAAUAUGUCACCUGGUGAAUUCUGUCCUCAUCUCUAAUUCAUGAGAGUAAUAAAGUUGUGAGUAUUUUAUAGUAUUGAUUCAUUCAACAAAUAUUUAUUGAGUACUUAUUAUAUGGUAGGUAUUGGAGAUAGACUAGUGAAAAGCAGAAAUCUUAAAUUCUAGUAGGAGAGACAGGCAACAAGUAAUUAAGAUAUAUAGUAUGUUAGAUCUUUUCUAAAUACUUCACAAGCAUUAACUCACUUAAUUCUUGUAACAGCCCUAUAAGACAGUACAGAUGAGAAUCUGUGAAACAGAUGUUAAGUAACUUGUCACACAAGCAACAGAAUGCACACAGCUAACAACGGUGAAGAGCCAGGGCCUUAACCUUGGCGUGGUUUGCAUUAUGCUGUUUAUUAUGGUAAUAGUAUACGAAGUCAGAUGGCUAACAGGAGGGUGGACGUGGGGAGGUCAGUUGUAUAGUACCUUAGAAUAAAUUGUA
rnacentral:lncRNA from 1 species